UGCAGUCGAACGGCAGCGCGAGAGAGCUUGCUCUCUUGCGCGAGCGAGUGGCGGACGGGUGAGUAAUAUAUCGGAACGUGCCCAGUAGCGGGGGAUAACUACUCGAAAGAGUGGCUAAUACCGCAUACGCCCUACGGGGGAAAGGGGGGGAUCGCAAGACCUCUCACUAUUGGAGCGGCCGAUAUCGGAUUAGCUAGUUGGUGGGGUAAAGGCUCACCAAGGCAACGAUCCGUAGCUGGUUUGAGAGGACGACCAGCCACACUGGGACUGAGACACGGCCCAGACUCCUACGGGAGGCAGCAGUGGGGAAUUUUGGACAAUGGGGGAAACCCUGAUCCAGCCAUCCCGCGUGUAUGAUGAAGGCCUUCGGGUUGUAAAGUACUUUUGGCAGAGAAGAAAAGGUACCUCCUAAUACGAGGUACUGCUGACGGUAUCUGCAGAAUAAGCACCGGCUAACUACGUGCCAGCAGCCGCGGUAAUACGUAGGGUGCAAGCGUUAAUCGGAAUUACUGGGCGUAAAGCGUGUGUAGGCGGUUCGGAAAGAAAGAUGUGAAAUCCCAGGGCUCAACCUUGGAACUGCAUUUUUAACUGCCGAGCUAGAGUAUGUCAGAGGGGGGUAGAAUUCCACGUGUAGCAGUGAAAUGCGUAGAUAUGUGGAGGAAUACCGAUGGCGAAGGCAGCCCCCUGGGAUAAUACUGACGCUCAGACACGAAAGCGUGGGGAGCAAACAGGAUUAGAUACCCUGGUAGUCCACGCCCUAAACGAUGUCAACUAGCUGUUGGGGCCGUUAGGCCUUAGUAGCGCAGCUAACGCGUGAAGUUGACCGCCUGGGGAGUACGGUCGCAAGAUUAUAACUCAAAGGAAUUGACGGGGACCCGCACAAGCGGUGGAUGAUGUGGAUUAAUUCGAUGCAACGCGAAAAACCUUACCUACCCUUGACAUGUCUGGAAAGCCGAAGAGAUUUGGCCGUGCUCGCAAGAGAACCGGAAACACAGGUGCUGCAUGGCUGUCGUCAGCUCGUGUCCUGAGAUGUUGGGUUAAGUCCCGCAACGAGCGCAACCCUUGUCAUUAGUUGCUACGCAAGACCACUCUAAGAGACUGCCGGUGACAACCGGAGGAAGGUGGGGAAGAAGUCAGGUCUCAUGGCCCUUAGGGGGAGGGCUUC
rnacentral:rRNA from 1 species